rnacentral:rRNA from 1 species
GAUGAACGCUGGCGGCAUGCCUAAUACAUGCAAGUCGAGCGAACGGACGAGACGCUUGCUUCUCUGAUGUUAUCGGCGGACGGGUGAGUAACACGUGGAUAACCUACCUAUAGGACUGGGAUAACUUCGUGAGACGGGCGCUAAUACGGGAAGAUAUUUUGACGCGCAUGGUUCACACGUUAGAGACGGUCUUGCUGUCGCUUAUAGCUGGAUACGCGCUGCAUUAGCUAGUUGGUAAGGUAACGGCUUACCAAGGCACCGAUGCAUACCCGACCUGAGAGGGAGAUCGGCCACACUGGAACUGAGACACGGUCCAGACUCCUACGGGAGGCAGCAGUAGGGAAUCUUCCGCAAUGGGCGAAAGCCUGACGGAGCAACGCGGCGUGAGUGAUGAAGGUCUUAGGAUCGGAAAACUCUGUUAUUAGGGAAGAUCAAAUGUGUAUGUAACUGUGCACAUAUUGACGGUACCUAAUGAGAAAGCCCCGGCUAACUACGUG